GCCUCAGUUUCCUCCGCUGAAGAAUGGGAGGAGGCUGGUCAUUGAGUCUUCAAGGGCUAGUGGAAAGAGCACUGGACUUGAAGGCAGAAGGACCCAACUUGCGUCCUGGC
rnacentral:miRNA from 1 species